GCGCCCGUAGCUCAGAUGGAUAGAGCACAGAAUUCCUAAUUCUGGGGUCGGAUGUUCGAAUCAUCUCGGGCGCGCCA
rnacentral:tRNA from 3 species